AUUGAACGCUGGCGGCAGGCCUCACACAUGCAAGUCGAACGAGUGGCGGACGGGUGAGUAAUUUCUGUGAAACUGCCUGAUGGGGGGGGAUAACUACUGGAAACGGUAGCUAAUACCGCAUACCAUCAGAUGUGCCCAGAUGGGAUUAGCUAGUUGGUGGGGUAACGGCUAACCAAGGCGACGAUCCCUAGCUGGUCUGAGAGGAUGACCAGCACCACUGGAACUGAGACACGUUCCAGACUCCUACGGGAGGCAGCAGUGGGGAAUAUUGCACGAUGGGAGCAAGCCUGAUGCAGCCAUGCCGCGUGUAUGAAGAAGGCCUUCGGGUUGUAAAGUACUUUCAGCGGGGAGGCGUUACCCGCAGAAGAAGCACCGGCUAACUCCGUGCCAGCAGCCGCGGUAAUUC
rnacentral:rRNA from 1 species